GGGGCCGAUCCUGGAUUCGACGGGAACUUCGACCUCCGAGGUGCAUGCCGAGGUGCGGUUGGCCUCGUAAACAAACCGCAAAAAAUAGUCGCAAACGACGAAACCUACGCUCUCGCUGCUUAAACACCAGUGGUGAGCCCUUCCCCUCACGUCUGCCUAUGGGCUGAGAUCAGGAAGGUCACCCUUCAUAGGAUCGCGUAGCGGCCUCGCCCGGGGCUUAAGCGUUAAAACCAAUCGGGCUAGUCUGUCAGUAGCCUGCCCGUCGGCAGCUGCCAGGCGAAUGUAAUGGCGUGGCUAAGCAUGUAGUACCAAGGACUUAGGGUUUUCGGACGGGGGUUCAACUCCCCCCGGCUCCACCA
rnacentral:tmRNA from 1 species